rnacentral:lncRNA from 1 species
UUUAAAUUCUGUUUUCUUAGAAAAGAUCUGCAGUUGACCAAGACAGGCUCCAAAAAGAAAAGCAAAAUUUAUCAAGAGCUUUCAGCUUAUAUGGAAUGAACCUAAAAUACAUUGAAAGAUUCUUCUGAGUGGGUGUUGUGGAGAAAACACUGGAAAUCACAGAAAGAAAAUGAAAUGAUUGGGAUAUCUCCUGGUAUCAGAAAUCUGAUGAGUGUCUGGAACCUGCUCUUCCAAAGCCCAUAACCUACAGCAGCUGCAAGUUUCUCUGAGUCAGGUGCUCUCCACAUCCCUGAGCCACCUUCAGCAAGGUGGCUCUGAAGGCUCAGGACAUAAUUUAGCCCUGACAGUUCUGAUCUGUGCUUCAUCCAUAAGCUCUGGGGAAUUCCUGCUGGGCCAGGAUCACAAGGUAUCACUGGGAAAUGUUUCUUUUUUUCAAUGUAAUCACUUCCCAUAAAGGGAUUAUUAUUAUUAUUAUUAUUUUCCUGCAAAGAAAACAGGUGUUUUAGGGUUAUAAAAAUAGAACAAUGUGGGAAAGUCUGUUCUGGCAGUGACAAUCUGAUUUCAUCACCUCUAAGAGGAUGCACAGAUAACUGGGCUCUUG